rnacentral:rRNA from 1 species
UGGUAAAAGGCAGUUAGGUAAAGAAAAGUUAAUUUAAAAUCAUAUAGAUAGGUAAAAUUCGACUAUAUGAUUAAAAUCUUAUAUUAACUAAGUUCACUGAAUCUGCGACACCCUUGAGGGAAACUGGGAUUAGAUACCCCAUUAUUCUUGGAAAUAAACAGAAUAAGUCUACCAGAGUACUAUGAAUGCUAAAGGUUUAAAACUCAAAGAGCUUGGCGGUGCUUUAGACCUUUUAGGGGAACCUGUCUUGUAAUCGACAAUCCACGUUACACCUAACCUUUUUUUGUAUUACAGUUUGUAUACCGUCGUCGUCAGGUAACUUUUAAAAAUCUAAUAGUUAGCAGAUAAACUAAAUAUAAAUAAGUUUAUACGUCAGAUCAAGGUGCAACUAAUAAAAAGGUUAAGAUGGGUUACAAUUACAUUAGUAGUAAUACGAAAAACUAGUUGAAACACUAUUUUGAAGGAGGACUUGAAAGUAAAGAAUAUUUAUAUAUAUAAAUUGAAUGAGGCUCUGAAGCGUGUACAAACCGCCCGGUCGCUCCAAAAGCUAGUUCUUAUUUUAUUUUAAACUGUUCUUUAUUUACAUACUUCUUUCACCCUCCCGCGGGAGGAAACCAGAUCUUGUUCUAUACUCUCUUCUUUUCUGAUUCCACGGAACCU